GAUGAACGCUGGCGGCGUGCUUAACACAUGCAAGUCGAACGAUGAAGCCCAGCUUGCUGCGUGGAUUAGUGGCGAACGGGUGAGUAACACGUGAGUAACCUGCCCUUAACUCUGGGAUAAGCCUGGGAAACUGGGUCUAAUACCGGAUAGGAGCGUCCACCGCAUGGUGGGUGUUGGAAAGAUUUAUCGGUUUUGGAUGGACUCGCGGCCUAUCAGCUUGUUGGUGAGGUAAUGGCUCACCAAGGCGACGACGGGUAGCCGGCCUGAGAGGGUGACCGGCCACACUGGGACUGAGACACGGCCCAGACUCCUACGGGAGGCAGCAGUGGGGAAUAUUGCACAAUGGGCGCAAGCCUGAUGCAGCGACGCCGCGUGAGGGAUGACGGCCUUCGGGUUGUAAACCUCUUUCAGUAGGGAAGAAGCGAAAGUGACGGUACCUGCAGAAGAAGCACCGGCUAACUACGUG
rnacentral:rRNA from 1 species